rnacentral:sRNA from 1 species
AGCAAAACCUCUGCACCUAACUUGUGAGAACUCAGAAAGAAAUCUGAUGAGCAAGAAGAAACCAUAGAGAAGCUAGCCCACACGGUUGAAGAACUUAAGAGUAAACUGAAUCAGAUGCAAGAAGAAGCUCAACCAAACGCGGGAUUGAUACUAUCCCAAGAAAAAAGUUUACUUCACGAUGGUCUGAGGAGAUAGAUUAUCCACCAGAAGAUAAAGAGGCCUAUUUCGAGGAAAGAAGAAUUGAGUAUUCUGCUGCACAACUCUCAAGAGAGGAUGCUGAAUAUGAUGAUGAGAUCAGAGAGGACUACGCAGAUCCUCUCUAUUACUCAUUUUCUUCCUAAUGAGUGUGAGGAGUCAAGAUAGAGAUUUUAAACAAGCUCACUUGGGAGGAAGUCCCAUGUUUAUCUUUGUACAUAUUU